UACGGGGGGGGCAAGCGUUGUUCGGAAUUACUGGGCGUAAAGGGCUCGUAGGCGGCCAACUAAGUCAGACGUGAAAUCCCUCGGACUUAACCGGGGACUGCGUCUGAUACUGGAUGGCUUGAGGUUGGGAGAGGGAUGCGGAAUUCCAGGUGUAGCGGUGAAAUGCGUAGAUAUCUGGAGGAACACCGGUGGCGAAGGCGGCAUCCUGGACCAAUACUGACACUGAGGAGCGAAAGCCAGGGGAGCAAACGGG
rnacentral:rRNA from 1 species